rnacentral:snoRNA from 1 species
CAGGAGACAAUAUAGUGUUUAAGAGCCCAGGCCUUGGGGGCCCAGUGUGCAAUGGCUGCAAACAGCAGCUUCCCUGGUAGUGAUGCAGCCUGUUUGUUGUAUGGGUUGCUCUAAAGGAUCUUGGAGACAGUC